ACGCUCGACACCUACUGGAGGCAGCAGUGGGGAAUAUUGCACAAUGGAGGAAACUCUGAUGCAGCGAUGCCGCGUGAGGGAAGAAGGUUUUCGGAUUGUAAACCUCUGUCUUUGGGGACGAUAAUGACGGUACCCAAGGAGGAAGCCCCGGCUAACUACGUGCCCGCAGCCGCGGUAAUCUGAGCGGGCUGGCAAGGC
rnacentral:rRNA from 1 species